rnacentral:lncRNA from 1 species
AUGUUCAAGCUGAAUUUAGAAAAGGCAGAGGAACCAGAAAUCAAAAUGCAAACAUCUGUUGGACCAUCAAAAAAGCAAGAGAGUUCCAGAAAAACAUCUACUUCUGCUUUAUUGACCACGUCAAAGCCUUUGACUGUGUGGAUCACAACAAAUUGUGUGCAAAUUCUUGAAGAGAUGGGAAUACCAGACCACCUGACCUGCCCUCUGAGAAAUCUGUAUGUGGGUCAAGAAGCAACAGUUAGAACUGGACAUGGAACAACACACCGAUUCCAAAUUGGGAAAGGAGUACGUCAAGACUGUAUAUUGUCACCCUGCUUAUUUAACUUAUAUGCAGAGUACAUCAUGAGAAAUGCUAGACUGGAUGAAGCACAAGCUGGAAUCAAGAUUGCCAGGAGAAAUAUCAAUAACCUCAGAUAUGCAGAUGACACCCCACUUACAGCAGAAAGUGAAGAACUAAAGAACCUCUUGAUGAAAGUGAAAGAGGAGAGUGAAAAAGUUGGCUUAAAACUCAACAUUCAGAAAACGAAGAUCAUGGCAUCUGGUCCCAUCACUUCAUGGCAAAUAGAUGGGGAAGCAAUGGAAACAGUGACAGGCUUUAUUUUCUUGGGCUCCAAAAUUACUGCAGAUGGUGAGUACAGCCAUGAAGUUAAAAGAUGCUUGCUCCUUGGAAGAAAAGCUAUGACCAAUCUAACUGCUAAGUCGCUUCAGUCGUGUCUGACUCUGUUAGACCCCAUAGAUGGCAGCCCACCAGGCUCCGCCGUCCCUGGGAUUCUCCAGGCAAGAACACUGGAGUGGGUAUGGACCAACCUAGACAGCAUAUUAAAAAGCAGAGACAUUACUUUGUCAACAAAGGUCCGUCUAGUCAAGGCUAUGGUUUUUCCAGUGGUCAUGUAUGGAUGUGUGAUUUGGACUAUAAAGAAAGCUGAGCUCUUAAGAACUGACGCUUUUGUUGGAACUCUGAGCCAUGACCUGUCCAUCUUGCGUGGCUUACAUGGCAUGGCUAAUUGUUUCUUUGAAUUAGACAAGGCUGUGGUCCAUGUGACCAAUCUGAUUAGCUUUCUGUGA